CGCGCCACCCUGUUGAUCUCCAGCUUCGAUGCAACCAGAUCAAGUAUAAAAUAUGUCAAGUGGCAAACAAAAGACAGGCAUGUCGUUUGGUCGCCGAUGUUCCUCCUGCCCUCACACAGUGCCCUGGCUGUCCGGCUAACUUGAAGCAGCUAACCUGCUAACGUUAGCUGGCUCUGAUCAAUACUAAAUCAAACAAAGUUUUCUUCAACAAACAACUUCGUUGUGGGGCAUGCUGCAAGGAGGCACGAGGACUGCAGAUGUGGCCAGGGCAAUAAAUUGCAAUGUCCGUACUGCGAGACGCCGAAGACAGCGCUACAGGGAGACAGGACGGACAGCUGACCAACCUCGCAGUGGCAGACCACAUGUAACAAC